UAGCAUUUACACCUGUGCUGUUCCUGCUGCCACAUGUCAGAAAGAGAAGGAGAAGACCAGUGCACUAUGCUAACUAAAAGUCAUGAUGUAGUUGUGUUCAUCCUGUGUAGCAGUGCUGGGAUGGGGCCUUGAUCUCAGUUAAUGGGAAGGUAGCGGGUGACACCUGGUGGUGAACAUGUGCACUUACAGCUCAUUCUCCCUUCAGAUCACCCAACACUAGAGCCCCGGCACUUCAUCGUUGAGAGGGUGGUGAACGAGCACCACCAAGACUUCAUGUUUCUGGAGUGCAUCAAGUUCAUAAAUGAGAUGAAGACCGGUCCAUUUGCGGAACACUCCAACCAGCUGUGGAACAUCAGUGCUGUUGCUUCCUGGUCCAAAGUCAACCAGGGCCUGAUCAGAAUGUACAAGGCCGAGUGUAUGGAGAAGUUCCCUGUGAUCCAGCACUUCAAAUUUGGUAGCCUGCUGUCCAUCCAGCCAGGGAAGCCUUGACGCUCAGGCGACGCACACAAUGGAAAGACCAAAAUCCCAACAGUUUUCCCUUCCUCUGGCAUCUUCUCGUGCAAAUAAAACAGUAGCAAAAACCAACCACAUGUAGUUUGACACACGGUUUCCCACACGUGCACGCAUGUGGUCAUGAAAGCUUGUAGGCCAUCCAUAACUUUAAUGCAGAGCAUGUUGUGGAUGACCUUUUAUGAUUUUGAAACAUCUUUAUAUAUUUUUUUCUCAUUUUAUUUAAAUAUUGGAUAGUUUAAAUCGGUUUCCUGAGGGAUUCUUUUUUGUUCUUUUUUUAAAGUCUACUCAUGUUUGAAUAUUCCUCAAAAGUGUGGCUCCUCAUGAGUAGAGACUUUGUGUGUCUUCUUUAAACUCUUUUGUCAUUCUUUUUCAACUUUAGAUAUUUUCUUGGUUUUGCUUUUAAGGCCAAAUGUUUUAUUUGAAUGCAAAUGUACUAACAUUUUGAUUGCCCAGUUAUCCUAACAUGUAAGUCACAUUAAUAAUUUGCUAAGAAAUGUGUGUUUGAGUGUUUUUUUUCUUAAUCAAAAUGUCUUGACAGUUCAAUGUCUUGCUCAAAGAGGAGAAAGUAAAGGGUUAGGUUUUCAAAGCUUCUGUAACAGCCCAUCCGUGUAAUGUUCAGAGUUUAGUCAUCUUGGUCACAAUCUUUGCAUGAAAUCCCUCUUUCAUUUUCCCCUCCAGUCUGUCAACUAUCAAGCUUUUCCCUCAAAAUUCUCAACCCAGGUGAAACAUUGUACUUUCUUACCCUGGGUUUUAAAUGAGUGUUAAAUUCUGCAUGUGAAAACAAUUGGCACAUUUUAAAGAACAUUGCAUUUGUUUUUAAUGUAAAAACAAACAAACAAUUUUAAUUACAUUGACCUGUCAAACCUGAUUUAAUAAAUUUCUCAUCUUUUAUCUGGUGACCCAACCAUGAACUUUGUUCUCUGUUUCCCUGCUACGUUAAAGCUAUCACGUUGAAAAUGUCCCAUGCUAACACCCCCUAUGCUCCCUGCUGAUUUGAAAAGUACUUGGAUCACAUAAAGAUUCUGCACAUAAUGACUAAGUCAGAAAUAGGUUGCUUUGUCUCUUCAUCCUCUUUCAGCUGAAUCACAUGUAACAGGCUAAAUUUUGGGGUGAACAUCAUUUUUGCUUGAAUCCUGAAAAAGAGGACCCAGAACAAUCGGACAACAUUAAUGGUAGCCUGCCGCUGCAGCAACGACAUGAUUUGACAUGAAGUUAACUGCAACAAAACAUCGCUCUAAAGCGAAGCCGUCCAUGGCUGAUAUGAGAGGUGAUGUGUGAGAAUACUCCAGCCUACAGUAGGUGACGUUCCACUGUCGGGUGUUCUAACAGAGGAUCGCACUGGACAGACCUGCUGUAACAAAACAUCUAAAAGAGCUCUCAGUAGAUUGGCAGCUGUAAUGAUAAUAUGGUGAACAGAAUAUUAAUUUUGCAUCAGGGUUGUCUUUGUUUUAUUUGAGUUAAAUAUGUAUCAUUCAAAUUAAUGAUUUCAGGUCAAAUUCGUGCUUUUUGCUCUUGAUUUUCAUGUUUACGUGGAUGAGAAUUAAGUAUGCGAAAAUUGGUAAAUGCCACAAAUUCUUUAAAAUUGUGAAUUUUAAAAACUUAACCAGUCUCUGUACGAGUGUUUCCUGCAUGAGGCCCACUGUUUUAUUGGAAAUAGUCUUUGGCUUGCUUGUGACCAAGAGAUGAACCCAGCGGUGAGGCAGAUGGAUUCUGAGAUGAGGAGAAAGUGUUGAAUAUUGCAUGAGUCGGGACACUUUACACUACUACUCCAUGUGGGGGGUGAUUUUUUUUUAAUUUUGAUGUGGUAACCAGGAGUAGGGGAACUCCGAUUCAUGUCAAAUUUCUGAUUCCAAAACAUGUAACAGUCCGUUUUUUUACUUAGGACAAUGAAUGGGCUGGAAUUCCCCUUACGUACAGGAUGUUGGACUGCACUGGAAUUAAGCACAGCAGGCCAAAGGCGACUGAGGGACUUUGUACAAAUAUUGUGGAGUAGAACAGCAGCUGUGUCCCCUUUCAGAAGAAGCCUCUGUUGUAUGAUGCAGGUGUGUGCUUCACAGGAGUAUGACGUCAUCAGACGAGAUGCUGACUGGGAAUAAAAGCACUGGUGUAUAGAGCCAAUCCUCUUCACGCCACAUAGUCUGACAGUCAUCGGGUCGUAUUCACCAGGUCUUUGUUCAGUCCCGAUUACAUAGAUCAUAAGAGCUGGUGCGUUGAAAAAGCCACCAUGUAAAAAGUGGAAUCCAGGCCUAAACUCCGCUGUCUGUUGCUCAACAUGCUGUGAAACCAGCAGCCUGCUCUCAACAUCCUCUAAAAAUCAAUAUGGCGUGUUCUCACCAGCCAACUGCCCAACCACACUUUUUGUUAUGUCAUGGCCGGGCUAACUUGGCAGUCAGUCUGCAACUGUUGAUGUGCAGAAGAAACUGUGGAAUAGUUCAUCAAAACAACACGUUGGGUGUGCACAUGAGCAGGGGGUUCAGUUACUUUACAACAACCUGUUGCACAAUAUGUAACCAGCAGGUCUGCAGUGUGUAACUGUGGCUUGACAGUGACAUCAUCGCUCCAGUUAGAGGCUGCUGCCUUCAGGUGUCUGUGAAGGAAAGGCCUUCAGUGUAGAACCACUAACUGUCAUGACAGACGUUAUUCUGCCUGGAUGGCUUUAAUGCCAUCAAAAUGAAUUAAGAAAAAGGUUAUUGUUAACUAAAUGACACUCAUAACCCAAAUAACUGUAAAUAAUGUUUCUGUCCAUCCAGCUAACAGCAUGUGUCAUCUCAGGAAUCCACUUCAUCAUAUAGUGAUAAAGGCAGCAUCAAAACCACCAAACACAAUACAGAGAGAUAAGUGAUUAAUCAGCAUAAUUUAGGCUCUGAUGUCUGAAGGUGGGCAGGUAUGAUAAUCAUACUUAUUUAUCAAUGAGCAUGAUUAUUGUUCUGCUUUCAUUCAUGCAUACUUUUAAAAAAGUGCUGAAAUGCAUAAUCUUUAAAUGCUUUAAACGUUUAGCUGCAGAACAUUUUAAACAAAGUUCCUGGAGUUAAGAGGAGAUGACCACCACUCCUGUGGUGGAUGAAGGCCUACUCAUAAAAUGACUCAUCCCAAUGUGAUCUCACUCCGAACUAAAGUGAACAAUGGACUGUGAUUUCCAUGCUGGGUUGGGGGUACAACUCUGAGGGAAAAGGCUGAAUCUGUUGGGCUCAUUUGGAGGAAUGUUUGGAAUGGGACAGCUGCGUCGACCUGUUCCCACGUGUCUGGGCUUGAAAUGGGAGGCAGCUGAAUACUUAAGAUGGCAGAAAGCAGUUGUGGAAAGUAACUAAGUGCAUUUACUAAGCACUGUACUUAAGUACAAUUCUGAAGUACUCGUACUUUACUUGAGUAUUCCCAUUUCAUGUUACUUUCUACUUCAUUUCCGAUAGAAAUAUUGUACUUUUACCGACAUCUGUAGUUACUUUGAGAUUUUACAUUAUUGGCUUCUAAAACACAAUGCAUUAUUAUAUACUGAACCAGUUUACCCAGCCUUUGUGGCUUGUGACCCUGAUGCCAAAUGUUCCAGAAGUUGUUGCAGUCCCACCAAAGAGAGGUUUUCCCUCUUAACUUCUCAGAUGGCUUCAGUUAAAGACAUCUUCCAGGUUGAAAGUAUACAAUUAUUCACAAAAAGCAAAGAUUAGUGAAAGUAUUACUUCACAACCCCCCACAUGUAUUUUGUGACCUUUUGGAUUAACCUGCCUGUACAAACUGUAUGUGAACUCGUCCGACCUCAACCAACGACAACAGUAAAUACGGUUCACAUUAAUGCAGCAAGUUAUGUCAAGAAAUUGUGUUAUUCUUAAAAUAACAUUCACAGGGCCAUUUUUAAGUGAACGUUUAAGUACAUUCAGAAGAUAAUACUUUUGUACUUUUACUUGAAUGUUUGGAUGAUUUACAAGGACUUUUACUUGUGAUGGUGUUUUUAUAUAUAUGGUUGCAUUGAGGAAAGAUUGGAUAUGUUUCUACACCACUUCAUUGAAUCAGCUAUUCAUCUAUUCAGUACAGUCCAGUAAUCAAUAAGUUCAACGCUUUAUUGUAAAAAGACUGAAAGGCAUGAAAGCCCCAAAUGGACUCAUUAGGAAAUAGAUAAAUAAAUGAAUCAUUGAGUAAUAAACAUUUUUCUUCA